GCACCACAAGGGGUGAAGCCUGCGGUUCAAUUGGAGUCAACGCCAGAAAUCUUACCCGGAGAGACAGCAGAAUGAAGGUCAAGCUGAAGACUUUACCAGACAAGCUGAGAGGUGGUGCAUGGCCGUCGCCAGCUCGUGCCGUGAGAUGUCCUGUUAAGUCAGGUAACGAGCGAGAUCCCUGCCAUUAGUUGCUAUCAUUAUUCUCAGGAAUAGUGGAGCGAACUAGUGGGACUGCCGUUGUUAAAACGGAGGAAGGAAGGGGCUACGGCAGGUCAGUAUGCCCCGAAACUCUGGGGCCACACGCGGGCUGCAAUGGUAGUGACAAUGAGUUCCAAACUCGAAAGAGAGUGGCAAUCUCUAAACGCUACCACAGUUAUGACUGAGGGCUGUAACUCGCCCUCACGAAUAUGGAAUCCCUAGUAACCGCGCGUCAUUACCACGCGGUGAAUACGUCCCUGCUCCUUGCACACACCGCCCGUCGUUUCAUCGAAGUUUGCUUUUAGCGAGGUGAUGUUUAAUUGGCAUUAUCGAACUUGAGGUAAGCGACGAGGGAAAAGUCGUAACAAGGUGACCGUAGGGGAACCUGCGGUCGGAUCACCUCCUUA
rnacentral:rRNA from 1 species